CAGUAGCGCGGUAAUACGGAGGGUGCAAGCGUUAAUCGGAAUUACUGGGCGUAAAGCGUGCGUAGGCGGUUUGUUAAGUCUGCUGUGAAAUCCCCGGGCUCAACCUGGGAAUGGCAGUGGAUACUGGCAAGCUAGAGUGUGUCAGAGGAUGAUGGAAUUCCCGGUGUAGCGGUGAAAUGCGUAGAGAUCGGGAGGAACAUCAGUGGCGAAGGCGGCCAUCUGGGACAACACUGACGCUGAGGCACGAAAGCGUGGGGAGCAAACAGGAUUAGAUACCCCUGUAGUCCCUGUCUCUUAUACA
rnacentral:rRNA from 1 species